AGCUCAUAUUGGGAUUGCUAUGCCUAAAUUUAUUGAGAGUUGUGUGGUUGGGGUAAAUGUAUGGGGAAGUAGUCCUAGAAGGUUUGUAGAUCCAAUAAAAAUGAUAAGUGAGGCUAGUAUUAGGGAUCAUGUGUGACCUUUUGGUGAGUGUGUAAGGAUUACAGCUCCAGCUCAUAUUGGGAUUGCUAUGCCUAAAUUUAUUGAGAGUUGUCUGGUUGGGGUAAAUGUAUGGGGAAGUAGUCCUAGAAGGUUUGAAGAUCCAAUAAAAAUGAUAAGUGAGGCUAGUAUUAGGGAUCAUGUGCGACCUUUUGGUGAAUGUGUAAAUAUUAUUUGUUUGGUAAUAAGUUUAAUUAAUCAUUGUUGUUUUAAAAAAUAG
rnacentral:lncRNA from 1 species